GAUGAACGCUGGCGGCGUGCCUAAUACAUGCAAGUCGAGCGAACAGAUGAGGAGCUUGCUCCUCUGACGUUAGCGGCGGACGGGUGAGUAACACGUGGAUAACCUACCUAUAAGACUGGGAUAACUUCAGGAAACCGGAGCUAAUACCGGAUAAUAUAUUGAACCGCAUGGUUCAAUAGUGAAAGACGGUUUUGCUGUCACUUAUAGAUGGAUCCGCGCCGCAUUAGCUAGUUGGUAAGGUAACGGCUUACCAAGGCGACGAUGCGUAGCCGACCUGAGAGGGUGAUCGGCCACACUGGAACUGAGACACGGUCCAGACUCCUACGGGAGGCAGCAGUAGGGAAUCUUCCGCAAUGGGCGAAAGCCUGACGGAGCAACGCCGCGUGAGUGAUGAAGGUCUUCGGAUCGUAAAACUCUGUUAUUAGGGAAGAACAAAUGUGUAAGUAACUAUGCACGUCUUGACGGUACCUAAUCAGAAAGCCACGGCUAACUACGUG
rnacentral:rRNA from 1 species